rnacentral:rRNA from 1 species
AGAGUUUGAUCAUGGCUCAGGACGAACGCUGGCGGCGUGCUUAACACAUGCAAGUCGAACGGAAAGGCCCCUUCGGGGGUACUCGAGUGGCGAACGGGUGAGUAACACGUGGGGGAUCUGCCCUGCACUUUGGGAUAAGCCUGGGAAACUGGGUCUAAUACCGAAUAGGACCGCAUGCUUCAUGGUGUGUGGUGGAAAGCUUUUGCGGUGUGGGAUGGGCCCGCGGCCUAUCAGCUUGUUGGUGGGGUAAUGGCCUACCAAGGCGACGACGGGUAGCCGGCCUGAGAGGGUGUCCGGCCACACUGGGACUGAGAUACGGCCCAGACUCCUACGGGAGGCAGCAGUGGGGAAUAUUGCACAAUGGGCGCAAGCCUGAUGCAGCGACGCCGCGUGGGGGAUGACGGCCUUCGGGUUGUAAACCUCUUUCAGUAUCGGCGAAGCUCCAGGAUUUUUCUUGGGGUGACGGUAGGUACAGAAGAAGCACCGGCCAACUACGUGCCAGCAGCCGCGGUAAUACGUAGGGUGCGAGCGUUGCCCGGAAUUACUGGGCGUAAAGAGCUCGUAGGUGGUUUGUCACGUUGUCUGUGAAAACUCACAGCUUAACUGUGGGCGUGCGGGCGAUACGGGCAGACUGGAGUACUGUAGGGGAGACUGGAAUUCCUGGUGUAGCGGUGGAAUGCGCAGAUAUCAGGAGGAACACCGGUGGCGAAGGCGGGUCUCCGGGCAGUAACUGACGCUGAGGAGCGAAAGCGUGGGGAGCGAACAGGAUUAGAUACCCUGGUAGUCCAA